UACGUAUGGAGCAAGCGUUAUCCGGAUUUACUGGGUGUAAAGGGAGCGCAGGCGGCACGGCAAGCCUGAUGUGAAAGCCCGCGGCCCAACCGCGGGACUGCAUUGGGAACUACCGGGCUGGAGUGCCGGAGAGGUAGGCGGAAUUCCUAGUGUAGCGGUGAAAUGCGUAGAUAUUAGGAGGAACACCAGUGGCGAAGGCGGCCUACUGGACGGUGACUGACGCUGAGGCUCGAAAGCGUGGGGAGCAAACAGG
rnacentral:rRNA from 1 species